rnacentral:lncRNA from 1 species
CUAAGUCAGCACAAGUGUUGGCCUUGACAAGAUUAGCAUUGCAUCGGUAGAACGCUCCAAAAUGACCUCAUUAAAGCAUCAUUACAUCAUACUUGCUGAAGUAAUCAAUGAUUCUCAUGGAACAAGAGCACAGGAAUUUUCAUAUGGUCAAAAUACCCAUGGACUAUAUGAGUGGCAGCAGUAAACAAUCCUUGAAGUUCUUGCUUGUUUAACUUGACUGUUGGUGAUGCCCAAUGAGGCCCUGUCUGCUCCAAGCAAAUUACAUAAAAAAGAUGUGAAUAAAAACUCAUCAAAUACUAACAGAG